rnacentral:lncRNA from 1 species
ACAGUGUCAUAUUAGACGAUAAUGUUAAAGAAAAUUACAAGAAUGAAUCAAGGCUUGGUCAUUAUAUCUCGAUAGAUACAUCCACCUGCAUUAACCGGCCCUCCAAGUCAUGCAUUGUGUACAAGGUGAAUUAGAAUAUGGUCAUUCACAACAAAGAAAUCACAUGGAAAAAUCCUUUCCAACUUAUUAUUGAUUACAGGAAUGUACAGAUUCAUUUCAAAUAGAUUUUCUUCCCUUAAUGUGGUAGAACAUCAGUCUAUGAAGAACAAACUUAUCUCUGUAUUGAGUUUCUAGAUUAUUUUCAGGCAAACCACAAAAUGAAAUAGGGAUUAAAGUUUUCAUGAAUAUAUGACAGUCAUGACUUUUCAUAUGAGUCAGCUUUGCAUGUUUUCCCAGGUUCAAAGCAUAUCCCUCAAGCAUCAUUAGGUUUGAAUCUAUUGUCUCUGUUCCUAAGUGAAUAUGUAGCUGGCCUUGGGCUUGAAUAUCUUACCAUUUUUCGCUGAAUGCAAAUGUAAUUCUAGUCACUUGCAAUAUUCUUGUAAGUCCAGUCUAGUCUUUGGGUUAUCUUUUGUCUUAUUCUUAGCAUCCAUCACUCUACUGAACAAAUUGUCAAAAACGUUGUCCUCAAUAUGCAUGAUAUCAUGAUUGUGUUGGAGAACAAUACUUUGUUUGUCUAGUUAUGGGUAACAUCAUAUCCACAAAAAUCUAGAAGGUGGAGCCUUGGUAACUUUAGUGAAGCUCUAAACCCUCCAAAAUUUUCUCACCGGAAAAAAUUGGAGGUGGCAAAUCAUAUUCAACUAUAUUCGUUUUUAAUGAAUUCUUCUUCCUUCUGAACUCAUGAUCAACUAGAAAGAACUGACCAUGAAAAUCAAACCAUGACUGCCUUUAGUCAUGUCUUACAGUGAACGUUUUAUCAUUAUCCAUGCAGUAAGGACAAGCUAACUUUCCAGCAGUCAUUCACCCAAACAAUAUUCCAUACGCAGAAAAAUCAUUAAUAGUCCAUAUUUAAUUAGCACACCAAGUUAAAAUUUUGCUUAGCUGAUAUGUCACAUGUCUCAACUCCAUCAUACCACAACUGUUUUAGCUCAUAAAUCAAUGGUUGCAAAUAUACGUCAAUCAAGUUUUUUGGAUUACAGGGAUCCGGGAUAACACAAUUGAAAAAAUAUAUGGACUAGUCAUACAUAUUUUAGGUAAAAGAGUAUACGUCACAAUAAAGAUUGACCAGCAUGAAUAUGGAAUUGCAGAAACACAAAAUAGUGUGAAACCAUCAGCACACAAACCCAGCCGAACAUUCCUCGAUUCACUAGCAAAAUUUGGAUACGUCCUAUCAAAAUGCUUACAAGUUUCCCUAUCUGAAAAAUGAAAGAUAACACCGGGCAGACUUCUAUUUUCAUAGCGACAUCUCAUAUGAGGAGCGAAACUCAUUAGCGUGUACAACCAUUUUAAUCUAGGAAUAAGAGGUAAAUAAUACAUUGACUUCACAAUAACCUUCUUCCCGCUAGAAACCCGCUUAAAAUAUUUUUUUCACAAAACUUACAACUUUCUAAAUGUGCAUCACCUUUAUAAUACGAACAUCUUCACAAUAAACGAUUCUCAUAUACGAGAGUCCUAACUUAGAAACCAAUCUUUUAGCCUAAUAGAAAUCAUCAGGUAUGUUGAAAGUUGGAUUAACUAGUUCACUCAUAAUGCCAAUGAAAGAAUCUAUACCUAUUUGAGAAAUAUUGGUAUCUCAUUUGAUACUUAAUAAUCUAACAACAACAGAUAAUUGAGAGUGUGUAUCCCCUUCACAUAAUGGACGACUGGCGACUAUCCCCUUCACAUAGUGUGACGCCUAGAGACCUCUAACUAUUCAUAAAAAUUUCUUCGUUAGGAGCUUGUUCAACAAAUUCAUAAGGUUCAAACUCGGAGUGUAUCCAAAAUCAUCCGCAACCUUUUCAUGGUAUCUAGGAUGUUGAACGUUGCUCUCCACCGACCUACUGCUAUCACCAACAACUAGGUUGUAAAAUACACAAUCACUAUCAUCAACCUCUCCAGGACUAAUCCCCACAAAAUAAUUAUCCAUAAAUCUCUUUCUAUAAAGAUGAGUCAUGACAUCUCCAAACCCAAAAAAAUCAAACACUUGCACUUCAUACAAGGACACUUAAUCAUCCCUCCAAUCAGAAAUAGUUCAAGUGACAUUACAUGCCUAAUAAAUUCCUUAACCCCUUCUAUAAAUUUCUCCCUUAAAAUCGAUGAUUCGGAUUCUAUUAUACAUCCAACCACAUUAUUCCAUCUACUCAAGAAAAAAUAAAUUACAUGUUAUAUUAAUUGCCCAUUCAAAUUAAUUUAUAUUUUAUGUUACAUAAUAAACUUUACUUACAAAGUAGUUAAUUUAAAUUAUUUGAGUGUAUAUUAAUUUUAAAGUUCUCAUAUAUAUAAUAGGUUUUUUUCCAAAUUUAAUUAGACCAUUAGCGUGCAAUAUAAUUGAAAGACUUGCAAGCUAGCUAACACUAGCAUUAAUCAUAAUUAGACUAACUCAUUCAAUUAUAAUUUGUUAACACAUUCAAUUAGACUAACUUGUUCAAUAAUAAUUUGUUAAGACAUUUAAUUAGACAAACACAAUUAGUCAACCCUAAUUUUUUAAAAGUGAUCACUAAUAGAACAAUAUUAUUAUCCCCUAAAUUAGUAAAUCCUAAAUUUCUGAAAGCAAUAAACACUAAUAAAAUAAUAAAUUAAAUGCUAAAUUUAAGAAUUAAGUAACUUUAAAAAAACUAGGUGACUAACCUUCAGGUGGUGGAAGCAGUAGCGGCUGAAUAAUGGUGAGAAGGGAGGCAAGUGGUGGAAGCAGCGGCGACGGUGGAGCAAUGGUGGUAGAGAAGAAAGUGAGGCAGCGACAGCAAAGAAGUGGAAGCAGUAGCGGUGGCUGGGAUGGGGAUAAGAGGGGUCUUUCAUUUAGGGGGAGAAGAGAGGUAGGAAUCGAUUUUGGGUGGGAUUUGCAUGAAAUCCCUUAGGGUGGAGGAGAGAAUAAGAGAU